GUGCUCACUUUCGCAGCACAUCUGCUCAAAUUGGAAUGAUACAGAGAAGAUUAGCAUGGCCCCUGCGCAUGGAUGACAUACAAAUUUGUGAAGCAUUCUAUAUUUGU